rnacentral:misc_RNA from 1 species
AACAUCGCGCACCUGCGGGAACCUGCGGAAGGAUCAUUACAGAGUUGCAAAACUCCCACAAACCAUCGCGAAUCUUACCCGUACGGUUGCCUCGGCGCUGGCGGUCCGGAAGGCCCUCGGGCCCCCGGACCCUCGGGUCCCCCGCUCGCGGGGGGCUGCCCGCCGGAGUGCCGAAACCAAACUCUUGAUAUUUUAUGUCUCUCUGAGUAAACUUUUAAAUAAGUCAAAACUUUCAACAAU